CCUACGGGGGGCUGCAGUGGGGAAUAUUGGACAAUGGGCGAAAGCCUGAUCCAGCCAUGCCGCGUGUGUGAAGAAGGCCUUCGGGUUGUAAAGCACUUUCAGUGGGGAAGAAAGCCUUGGGGCUAAUACCCUCGAGGAAGGACAUCACCCACAGAAGAAGCACCGGCUAACUCCGUGCCAGCAGCCGCGGUAAUACGGAGGGUGCGAGCGUUAAUCGGAAUUACUGGGCGUAAAGCGCGCGUAGGCGGUCUGAUAAGCCGGUUGUGAAAGCCCCGGGCUCAACCUGGGAACGGCAUCCGGAACUGUCAGGCUAGAGUGCAGGAGAGGAAGGUAGAAUUCCCGGUGUAGCGGUGAAAUGCGUAGAGAUCGGGAGGAAUACCAGUGGCGAAGGCGGCCUUCUGGACUGACACUGACGCUGAGGUGCGAAAGCGUGGGUAGCAAACAGGAUUAGAUACCCGUGUAGC
rnacentral:rRNA from 1 species